AGGCAUAACUGUUAUAAUUUAAACCUACUCUAAACCUAAACUUGUGGGAAGAGAACUUGAUCUGAAGUCUAACUUGUUAACGGAUAUGAUAUGAGAAGGUUGAUCCGCUGUUUAUCUGUUCCUAGGGAUGCUAGAAUUCUGGAGAAUUUUAUCUGUUAACGGAUAUGACAUGAUGAGUUCCUAUAUGAUGAGAGUUUAAAUUCCUACCAUAGCCAUAUAUACAUGCUUGCUUGACUUUAAGCCACACAUUUACUUUUUACUGCUUAUGAGCAUUGAGUGUGGUCAAGCUGUGUAGACCCUUAGGAGCUUGUCAUGCGGUUAAAAUCAAGAUUUACUUGCACGUUCACUCACACAUGCUGCUUCUACUUCAGAAGUACGCAUCCACAUAUAUCCACUCACUUCCAUCUUCAGGGCCACCCAAAAUUAUUCUACUCCUAAUCCGGGAGAGAAUAGCCAAAAUGAUUAUCCUAUCCCUGUUAUUCCCUAUGAAAUAAAUGCUCGAGUUAUCUUGGUUACUACCACUUGCUAUAUUAUUUCAGGAGAUGAGUGCUCUAAAAAAAGAAGAAGAGAAAAAAAGAGGAUACGAGGAAAUAAAAAGGGGUAAGUGCCCGAAACCUCGAAGAAAAGAAAAAUUGAGACGAGAGGUAAAAAUGGACAAGUGUCCGACAGUAGAAUUAGAGGUACAAGAUACCCACCUAAGAGGAAAGAAAAAGAAAAUAUAGAGCAUCUCCUUCUCCUCAAAAAGCUUCAAAGUGCAAGAAAGGUAUGUAUCCCCUCAUAAGAGCAAAAGUAGAAUUAGACUUUCACCAUUGUUAUCACCAUCAUCACCAUACAGCAUUCAUUCGCCACACAUGCACAUCUUGAUUUGACUUAUUGAUUUGUUUCUCUGGAUCCAUGGUUUGACUAUACAAUAAAUGUCUUGUAAGUAUGUACUAUCUAUCUCCCACCUAUGAGCUCCAGAUAUCAAAACCUUAUUAGAGUAGGGUGAGAGAGAAGGCAUAUACCAUCACUGCCUUGGAAAGGAUCCAGAAAUACCACAAAAGAG
rnacentral:lncRNA from 1 species